UCCUACGGGAGGCAGCAGUGAGGAACAUUGGUCAAUGGAGGAAACUCUGAACCAGCCAUGCCGCGUGAAGGAUGACGGCCCUAUGGGUUGUAAACUUCUUUUAUAGAGGAAGAAACUUGUCUACGUGUAGACAACUGACGGUACUCUACGAAUAAGGAUCGGCUAACUCCGUGCCAGCAGCCGCGGUAAUACGGAGGAUCCAAGCGUUAUCCGGAUUCAUUGGGUUUAAAGGGUCCGUAGGCGGGUUUUUAAGUCAGUGGUGAAAGCCGACAGCUCAACUGUCGAACUGCCAUUGAUACUGGAGACCUUGAGUACAAAUGAAGUAGGCGGAAUGAGUCAUGUAGCGGUGAAAUGCAUAGAUAUGACUCAGAACACCGAUUGCGAAGGCAGCUUACUAACAUGUAACUGACGCUGAGGGACGAAAGCGUGGGGAGCGAACAGGAUUAGAUACCCUGGUAGUCCACGCCGUAAACGAUCAUCACUCGCUGUUGGCGAUAUACUGUCAGCGGCCAAGCGAAAGUA
rnacentral:rRNA from 1 species